ACGGGUGUAGCUCAACUAGUAGAGCGGCUGUUAAUUAUACGGUUGGUUGCGGGUGCAAGUCCCGUCACUCGUA
rnacentral:tRNA from 1 species